CUCCUUCAGGUAUUUUUAUACAUGGAUGAGAUUCCCUCCAAGUUUUCUCUUUUCUAGGUUGAACAGGACCAGCUUUCUCAUCCUUUCCUCACAAGAGCGGUACUUCAGUCCCUUGAUCACCUGGUGGUCCUACAUUGGACACUUUCCAUUAUGUCCAUGCCUCUCUUGAAAUAAUUAAUAUCCAAAAUAAUAUGCUGACAUUAUAAACACGAGAGGAGCAGUGUCUCCCAGGUUUAUCUAUGAAGUAACAGUCAGUCUAAGUUACUGAAUACUCCAGUGUGUAUAUAAAUACAUUAGCAGAAGCUGUAAGCACUGUGAAUCUUCAGCCUUGUGAGAAAUCUUCCUAACAGAGAGAUGAACCCUCCACCCGCAGGGAAAAGCUGUAAAUCCAACCACAAAAUGGCUGCCCCGGCCAUUUUGCAGGGCAGGCUGGAUCACUGCUGAGGCCAGCGCCACUCUGGGCCUGCAUGGACACAGAGGGCAAACCGCUGCCUGGCUCCCCGUGGGCUGAGGGUCUGUGGCCAGCACGGGCAGCCCACAUAGAGGAUUUGUAGAGCAGAGGGCUGUGUGCCUGCUCUCUGCCCAGAGCGGAGCAGGACUCUUUGCAGGAUCACCAAAAUUUCUGGAAAUGUUAACUCAGCUGAAUGCUAGUGGCAAAUAAUUGUUCCAUGGCAAAUACUUAUUCACAUCACAAGCAGAAGCCACCUGUACUGGAGAGAGGUGCAGAAAGUUAUUCCACAUCCCCUGCACCCCGAUAUUACUACUAUUAAACUAGUGUUUUACAAAUCAUCCUCUGUUCAGCCACAUAGAUACUGGAGCUAUCCUGCCAUUCUUGGGAAGACAAUGAUCAAGAAGUUUAUGCGGAGGACAGUAACUAUUAACCAAAUAUAUCAUCCCUGACAACUAUUUGUUUCGUAAGAGACCUGAGGGAGGGGAUACAGAUUCUGUAGAAACUUACAGUUAGGGCCAAUUUAAAUGCGUUUAAUUUUCAAGGUGAAGAACUACCACAGAGACACAUAAUGACAAGAAGUGGAAGCCUGGCUGAUUCAAACUCCUGGAAGAAUGGAGCUGGCAUCCUGAAGGGCCUUACACUGCAGUCAUAGAGGGGCUAAAACAAAGAGAUGGUCACCACGGAGGAUAGAAGGUGAGAGGGGGCAGCUGCCCAGUGUAAUGGCCUGUAACUAGGAAUAUUGCAGUUCUAUCUGACAGAAUAACCACUGGCAGAAAAAACAAUUAGCUCAUCCAAUUCUACCGUGUACACAUAAAAUUUAGAAGGAGAGAGACCUAGAAAUCACAGGAGGAUCCUACAGUCAAACUUAUUUCUAUGCACAAAGUUGUUUCCUUCACAUCAAAAGCAUUUUGUAGAGAGAGAGUGCAGAAUAGACAGCGAACCAUGAAGACUGUUCCACUGCUAACUGUCUCACUUGUGUGAAAAUCAGUAUAUAAAUCAGAUAAAAAGAAUUUACUUAUUUAUGCAUUGAAGAUACUCUCUUCAUCUGAUUUACCUUCAUCUGAUGGAGAUGCUUUGCGUAAAGGGAUGCAUUAUGAAGAAAUGCAUUCUGCUAGGAAAGGCUUGAGCUGGAAAUUAAAUCCUGUGCUAAACUUUUCAAGAAGUAUCUACCUUCACUGAACUCUUUUCAUGGUCCUGCUUAUUUCUACUUUAAACUUCUCAUUUAUUGUACUUUAAGCUCCAUCAGUGAAUGUAAAUGGGGUUUCACUAUACGUUUAGUGCAUUCAAGCAUUCUUUGUUACAGUUCCCACCCUGGCGCAUUAUGUGAGCUCUGCCACGGAAGUCCAGCAGUCGGUUUGUUUUCUGCUAUUAAGAAAAGAACCUACUUUUCGCCACUUCUUUGAAGAAGUUGAAAGGGCUACAUGUUAGAGGGGGAGGUGGUGGGGAACAGACUGUGGUGUAAUCCCCAAACGCAAAUGCUGUCUAGAUUAGAAACCUCCCAGAAGAAAAUCUACAAAUGCUAAGACUGUGCUUUUUGUGUGAUGAACAGUAGAGCAAUAACUUAGCCACAUACUGGGUUCUGCCUAAUGCUUAAGGAGCCUACUAGGUGAAAGGAAUUAAAUGAAAAAAAAAAAAAAAAAAUCUUCCAGUUGGCUCUGUGCCGAUGCUAGCCAACCCUUUCAGGACCCAGUGACUUACUAGUGGAACUAUUUUCAUUUGUAUUUCAUCACUGAGGUUUCUUAAUAUAAUACUUUGGAUUCUGUUAAAAUAAAUAUAUGCAAAAAAAUAAAAAAUAAAAAACAAACAAAUAAACAACAACAACAAAAACCCACCUAAUGAGAUUUACACAUUGCCAGUGUUUUUACAGUCCAGGAAAAGCUUAAUUAAAGGGGUGGAACAUGUCUCUGCUGAAUAGCUGUUUUUCCUUCAUACCUUCCCAUGCACAACACGCACACAUCCAAGAAAAGAGGCUGGGGGUGGGGGUGGUGCAAGAAAACCUCCCAAAAACCAUAGCCCAAAUUACCAGCCUUAAACCGCACAGCACAAUCUUAUUGGAUUGCAUGGCCACUUAAAUAAAUAUGUGUCCCUAGCAGAAAAUCAGAACCCGCUUGUAACAACUCACAAGUAGAAGAAAAGUAUAGAAUAUUAUCUGCCUUUUCCCCUGUAGGAUACUUGUAUUAUUCAAAUGAUCGUUUACUGUAUCUAGUUUACCAUGCAAUUACUAAGUAAUCCUUAAUUCCUAAAUUAGCAAGAAUGGGAGUAAUGAUAGCAAUCCCAAAAGCCAACCAGAUAAACUUUAUUGUGUAAUCAACUGGAUGAUUCUCUGAUUUAUUUUAAAUCCUACUUAUUAGAUUAAAAAUGUUUAUACAGAUAAAAUCAUUUUAGCAUUGCUGAUCUUAACAAUCUUAUGUUCACUUACUCUCAUGGGAUUCCAUAGUCCAUCCACCUGUUGUUACUCAGGCACUGUAAGCAAAACAUAGCUUAGCACAAAAAUUAAUACAGUUAGGUGCCGGUAAGAAUAUAACUCAUUGGGUAAGAAUAACUCUGAAUAACUCUGGUGGUGCUGGAGGGUGGAAUAAUGCAGCACUCAACAAACUCUGAAGACGAACUAUUUUAAGUAUCAGGGAAAGAAAAAUGAGGUGAUGAACAUUUUAUAUACAUGGGACAAAAACAAACAAACAAACAAACAAAAAAAAACUAUUUUGUGAGUGAUACAGCUUCAGCUGGCAUUUUUAUAGGGUUCCAGAUAUUUUUUCUGAUACACAUCUCUGCAUGACUACCUAGCUAGCCUAGAUGGUGGAUCUUCUUUUUCCUUUUUUAUUUUUCCUUUUUUUCUUUUUCUUUUUCUUCUUCUUUUUCUUUUGUGCACUACAGACAGUUUCUGUGCAGAGAUGGCUGCAUUUCAGUGUGAAAUUAACUAUCCAGUCAGGAAUUGAGUAUAAUCAUCCUAUGGGCAAAUCAAAAUGAUGGCUACAUUUGCUGCCUACAGAAAUUUUUGCUGCAGUGCAUAUUAACGCACCGAAAAUGCUUUGUUAGCUAAUAGUGAAUGUGCCGAUUUUCAUUACCCAUGGAAAUGUGUAACAUCUUAUGUUAAAUUUCAUUGACAUUUUUCAUCAAGUGUGUAGAGCAAUGCUCUGAAAUGUGAUAAUUGUAGACUCUUGUUGUACAACUUUGAGUAAAAUAUUUGCUCCUCUAAUUCCAGCAGUAAUUAACUUGGAUUGGAAUUCCCCCGACUCAUGUAACAGUCUUCAACAUUAUAUUAAUGGAUCCUAGUGUUUAAAUGGUUUGAAUAGAAAUUCUGUUCCAUAAACAUAACAUUUUAUUAAGGCGCUAAAGAUCUUUGGGUUAAAAAAAAGUAUUGAUCGAAUCACCUUAGCCUGAGCUGUAAAGGAUUUUUCUGGCUUAGAUUUAAAAUGAAUAGUAUCUUGUUGAAACUUAAAACACUUCAGAAAUGAAAUUCUGGAAAAUUGUUGCAUCUCUCUUGAAGACUAAAAAUUAAAGUAGACAAUUAUCAUAAUAAUAAACCAGUUGUACAUGGCAGACAAAAGAGAAGCUAAUACUUCCUUCUCUUUUUUGACUGAUGUUUUGUUGGGCUGUAGCUAAACAGCACUUUAAGUUGACAGUAAAUUAGCAAACAAUAUGAGGGAGGAAAAAAGAAAGAAAAUCAUGCAGGGGUUAAGAUGUUUAUGUAAAACAGUGAUUUUCCUUUUUAAAAUUAAAACGUACAAAUAAGCUGGUGUCAGAGACUAGGUGAUCCUUCAUUUCCACCGCAUUGAGCAGGCUCACAUCAGCAGCAGACAGCCGUUAAUAUAUGCGUCUGGCUCAGUCUGGUCUACCAACUAGGAAUUCAUCGAAUUGUUAAUAUCAUUCCUUUUUUGUAUGCACCACACAUCAUUUUCACUCUCUCUCUCUCUCUCUCUCUCUCCCUCUCCCUCGCUCUCUCUCCCCUUUGCAAGAGCUUGUGUUUUGGUUUUUUGUUUUUGUUGUAGCACAAGCUGAUUACUCUGAAAUCACGUAUUAAGUAGCAUUUAGAAGCAUUUUGUAUUGGAAGAGCAAAAAGUCAUAUAGAAAUAGAAGUAUAUUGAAAUUCUGCAUAUAUAGCUAUGCGUAGUCUACCAGUGAUGUUUCCAUUUAUUUUCACUAACAUAUACAGCUUUCAUACAAUGACAAAGUGUAAAUAAGACUGCUUUUUGUGAGGUGUCUGCAGGCACUGUCGCAUAGUCCCGGGCUGGGGAAAUGUGUUGAUCAUGGUGGCAAUUCUACCCGAGCAAAGGCUUGGUUUCUUCCUUCCCUCCAUCUACCUCUGCCCCAUCACAAGGAGUUUAAUGUGCAGUAGAGGUUGGUUUUGCUGUGUUGAAACGGGGGAAAAAGAGGAAGGAGGUAAAAAGGAAGACAGUGCACCAGCUUCUUCAUCUCUAUGGCAAGGGGCAGCAGCGAGUACUAUGGGCAGAGAGGAGGCACCAGAGCUAUCCCAGUUCAAGCAGUGAUGCAGAGGCAGUACUGUGUAUUCACAGCUUUUGCUGUAGCACCAAAUAAGACAGGUAGGAGUUUCUCAUGGUUAAUUUCAUUUUCACUCUCACUGCAGAGAAAAAAGUACUAGAAAUCUUCACACUGUUAGAGAUGGACAUUUCAUACUAUAGUUUCACAUGCAUUAUACAAUACAGUAUUAAACCAAAAUAAAUACCUAAUAUGAACUAUGCACAUUCAGGUAAAUUUUGCUGACUCAAAAAUAAAUGCAAUCCACAGUCUUUCAUAUCUACAGACGUGCACAUCGUAUAUCUGAUUAAAUAUAUUAGGUUUUUUAUUUUGACAAAUUCUGUGCAUAAUUUAAACUGUAUACCAAUAUGCAUAUACCUACGCGCAAUAUGGUUUUAUCUCAUUAUGUAACUUGAAUGAUCAGAGUGCAUUCACCUGAGCAGUGCCUUAAAUACACCCUUUUCAGGACUAUGAGUAUUACACAUAAUACAUAUCAGCUGCUACCAAACUGCUUUCUUGGCGUAGCACCUAUCUGAGUGAAUUAGUUUUUCACAUACAAAUUCAGAUCUAUUUUUCUAACAUCGUCUGAAUAGAAGUCAGUGGUGUUCAAUAACACAUCUGCAUAAAAAGAAAUUACCUCCAUGACUGAAUGUUUGCAAGUAGCUCUUUUGAGUGUUCUGAGUAUGUGCGAUUGACAGUUUAUGGUGGAAAGAACAGCAUCUUUACAGAAACUGUAUCAUCAUUGUAAUUGGUAAGACUAUUUUUAUGACUAUUUAAGCACUAAUUAUACCUUGAGCAACUUGAAAGCUACGUACAGCGCAUAGUUUCUGCCUCUUAAUAAAACAAGACAACAAGAAAAAGUAUUACUCUAAGAGAUAAGAGCAAUUUAUUUUAACAAAAGUAUUGAUGCUUACAAUAAAACACAAUUCCUCCCACACAAGUGGAAAAAAAACACUGCAGCCAAAAUACCACUUCUGAAAUGAACAAAUAGUUUGGAUGCCUGAUCUGUAUGAAGCCUUUGUCUCAGUGAAGUCUGAUGCAUCAACAAGGUCCUGCAGCAUCUUGGUUUAGACACAGGAAACAAGAGAAAAAUGAAUUAGAACUAACCCACCUAUAAACUGUUAAGAAAAACAAAUCAAACUAUGCACGACAGAUCAGAAGUUUAAGAGCAAUGAAUGGCACAGAACAACUCAUGCCCCUGUAAAUCUUCCUAUGCAAAGUCAGUGAAGUACUUAGCAUAUUGGGGACAACCUAAAACACAGUAUGCUGUUGAGGCUGAGUCCUAUUCUCAGAGUACUGCCGACUCCAUUGAAAUUUAACAGGUACACAGAAUGUGACUGUGAGUGAAGUGAUAUUAAUGCUGUAGUAUGAUUUUUACACCAAUGUUCUCGAUCAGAUUAAAAUUUAAACUGAGACAAUAUUUUUAAAUGUGAUAUCGUGUCCUCACUUAGACAAAGAAAAAUAAUGGUAACUACUAUAAAACAGUCUUUGUCCCGUAUUACAGGAAAAGCUAAGCAACAGUUUUCCUGUAGACUGAAAUCAUUACUUAACCAUCAAAAGAAUGAAUGCUUUCUAGGCCUCAAACAUCAGCAUUCGUGCUUUAUGUUUUAAAAGUUAGUUAAAUGCUGUAGCAAUACAGCUGAAAAUACACUUUGUGAUAAUCAUCUACCAGAAAUGUCUGUAAUGAUAAUGUUAUGUUAUGGUUGAAAACCUUUGGUAUAUUUUAGUACCUGGUGGGUUGGUAGGUUUUUUUUUUCUUUGUUUGUUUGUCUGUUUUUGAUUUUUUGUUGUUGUUCUUUUGGUUCUUUUUUGAGGUAUGAACUGGCAUUCAGUUUAAAUUUUAAUAGUAAAUGUUACAUUGCAUCCAGUCCAGUUUUCUAAACACAAACAGGUAGCAUGCUAAAGCUGCACAAAGGAUAACAGCUUUUUUUUCUUUUAGGAACAGGUCUGCUGCUUAACAUUUGGAAUAUUUUCCAAUAUAUUAACAAAGGUCUAUUUUCCUUUUUCCCUUCCAGACAGGGAAAGCUCCUUUGGCUCUCUAAAUUCUGCAGAGAAACAAUCAUAGUCCAAAGCUGCUGGUUCCCCUCCGCCUAGGUCCCAAGAGCCUGACUUGUGAUUGUUGCUACAAAACCUCACAAGUUAGGGUCUCAGGGACUAGGAAAAGUCUGAUAUGAUCCAGUAGAAUUCGUCUUCCAAUAAUCUGAAUUGCUUAGUAGUCAUAAUUGCUGUCAGCAAAACUUUCACUGCUAUUAUUAAAAAAACAAAACAAAACAAAACAAAAAAAAACCCAACCAAACAAAAACAACACACAACAACACCAAACCAAAACCAAAACAAAAAGCAACCACCCCCCACCAC
ensembl:lncRNA